AGUUGACAUACACAGAGGUGUAGGUUGCUGCUGACACCCAGCAGAGUGUAAUAUUGCUGCUGGAUCCUAGACCACAGAUCCACAACCAUUUCCUGCCACCCAACAGAGCCAACCACUCAACGGACAGCACAGUUGGACUGCUGUUAAUUAGUGCUACUUGGGAAAGUCAGUACCAGCGCUUGUGUCAGUCUCUCACUGUGGUGGCACCAAUGCUGAGAAUCUGCAGGCAGGUUUCAAAAUGAAUUGGUCAUGCUUUGUCCUUGAUUUCCUAAUGCUUGUCCAUUUAUGGCUCUACAAAUAAAAUUAGCCUGGACGUGACAAAGGGUUAAGAGGGUCUGCUAUAUAGAUGCACUUUCAAGGCUGGUGGAAUCAUUGUCUUAAUUCCAAGAAUGAACAAAGAUGAAAAGAAAGACAAAUAUAAGUGAACCAGGCACAGCUUUCUGUGAUUCAUGAUACCUUCCAGUAAGCCUGUUAGCCUGGUUUCACUCCUUUGGAAGAAUAAUGGAGAGUUACAAUGUGUACGAUGACAUUGUCAAACCAUCUGGAAUUGCUGAUUAUAGUGCUAAAUAUUGAUCUCUGCUUCACAUGUGUCAAAAUUCUUUCUUCCCUUAAUUAGUGCUUUCCUCAGUACUAUAUCAGAACAAACUGCAUACAUGAUAUCACAGCGAAAGAGAAAGUGUUACUGGAAUGUGAGUGUGACCUUGUAUCUCCUUUAUCUUUUGGUUUUUGAAUUGACUUCAGAUCUACGGACUGCCAUGCCAUUAUGUGACAAUAAUACUCAUUUUAUCCCAAU